AUAAUGACCAAGUGUAUAAAGAUAAAUGUCACAAAAAUUAUUACAUAGAAAAAGUGUCUUACAAAAAUAAAUGAUAACAAAUAAGCAAACUAAUAUUAUUUCCUUGGCGCCAAUAAGUUGACUGAGAGACGCCACCUAGACUUCAUCAAACUCUUCAUAGUAGUCCUCAUCCUAGGCUACCUGCUCUUCACCUGUGUGUGUGGGGGGGGUUAUAUAUCGCAAGAGUGAGCUCACAAAAGUUCAUAGCUCAACAAGUGUGGGGAAUAAUGUGCUUGAAUUCACCAAAGGUGGGAGUUCAUGUGAAGUGUAAUGUUGAUCAACAAAUAAUGGUUAAAGGCAAAACAUUGCUUUUAAUAAGGUGGUCAAGUUUACUAGCAGUUACUAAGUAUAAGUAAAUAUCAACCCAAAUAAUGAGAGAUCAUAAUUAAUAAAUAAACCACAAUGCGAUGCAAAUGACCAAUUAAAUUUAAUUCCAUAAGUUACUCAUGUGAGGUUCCGAGCCACUCAUGACAGUGAGCACGACUGAUAUACCAGUUUUACACUCUGCACAGGUUAUGCAUCUUUACCAAUAAGUCAUGUUACCCAUCUGCCACAGGGUUGUACGGGCCCCAAACACCUCUACCAAGGAAGCGAGGUAGGGUAACACUACGAGACCUUUACAAAGUUCCACUAGCUUCAGAAAACUCGCUACAGUUUCUAAGGAGAAACAUUUAGGAAUCCACUAUCUAAAAAGUCAUCUCAGCAAGAUCAACCCAAGAACCUCCCUAUACCGACAACUCCCAUACUGCCCUUGCCCCUUUCGGGUAAGGUAGUCCUCCACUAGCUUUUCUAAUUAGUCAGCCAAGGGCGUCCCAUACCACACUUGUGGUAGCACUGUUUUCCCAUGUGAUUGCUCCAUGUUCCAAUUAACAUAAUGAUCUUGUCAUGAACAGUAAAUAACUCAUUUGUAAUAAAAGCAUGAUCAUGAAUAAUAUGUAUCUUAACAACCAAAACCACAUAAAGCAAUAGCAGGUACUACCCAAAAGUUCAGUGGUAAACAAGGUAUAAAGAUGGCCAAACUAGGGUGACCUAUUGGGUCCCAGCAAAAUUAACCUAUGCAGAUCAUAAUGAUCAAUAGGAACAUUAUUGGGUAAAGAAAAGUGAUCAAGGGCACAACUUGCCUUCAAUGAGCUCAUGCUCAGAGUUUUCCACCUACUAAGUACCGGGGUCCUCGGUCACUUGCUCGUCUACUCGCAACAAUACAAACAAACAUGGUACAGGAGAAAUUAACAUCACACCAAACAUAAGAACAAAUUGCAUAAUAAUGAUAUACGCAUCGUAACGAGAUCGUAGGUUCGAGAACUACUAAAUUCGAAGUUACAGUUAAAGAGUUAUGAUUUUAUGAAGAUUUAAAUAGUGAAAUAAUAAUAGAGCUACAUUUUUUUAACAUGAGACAUGUGAAAACAGAUAAAGAAAUAAAUAAUUUAACUCUGAUACCCAUUUAUCUUGAUUUGAAUUCGUAUUUUAGUCAACUUAUAAUCAUGGACCAAUUUACAAUAUUACAUUUAUCUUGGUUUAUAAUAGUUAGUCUAAUAUGUAUAGGUUAAAAAAGUAUUUAAUUACUUUUGAAAUCAUGCUACAUGAUGAUACAGAGCUGUUAGCAUGUGGACAACAUUAAUAUGAAACUAACGCAAUUCGAACGGAGUAAAACAGAGCUAAAUUGAAUAAGUUAUGAUUUAUCCAAGUUUUGAGAAUUAUUUCUAUAGUAAAAACUGAGCCUCAGAAUUACUUUAUUGAAUCCAGGAACCUAGCUGUAAAUUUUCGGAUCUAGAUGUAAUUACUUAUCUAUCUAGCAGGGUAGCAGGCUUAUUACUACACAUAGGAGGGUCUUUUUAACAAAUUGGUGCUGCUAUACAUGCGGGUGAACCUAGGCGCUUCGAUUCUGAUCCGAUGGAUCAGAUAAAAUGUCGAAAGGGUAUGCAACCAGAGCCGUCCGAUUUAAAAUCGAGGGCUGCGAUCGCAUCAGCCAAAGGGUAUAGGUCAGUCGCUCAUCUCACAUCAACGGUCUAGAUCAGACCGCGGACCAAAGUGCACUCACAGCCCUCGGAUCUCAGAUCCACGUGCUCAAUUUUAUUAAAUCCGAGCUAAUGUCAUCUGUUCCCCCAGGAUCCUACGGUUGGGAUGAUACUAAGCGAAACGGUAACCUCUUCUAAUAUGAGUCGUUCAACGGGAGAUCAACGGUCCCCCGGCUCGUCUCCUACCCCAUGCUACCGAAGACGGCGACGCCGCCCACCUACACUCGACGAAGGAUGGCCGGAGCCAUCCCGCCGCAACACCCGAUGCCUCGAUUCCUACUCUGACCGAAUCUGCGCGCAGAGGAACUCAGCAAAGUUGGGGUUCAUAACUCACCAGCGAUAGCAGGGUGGCCAAGCUGGUCCGCGGCGGAGGCCUAGCCACGGCGAUGUAGCUGCUCCGGCGAGCAAUUCACCCCACCAGGUUGUCUCAACCCCGAAUUCACGAGCACGCACCAACGUUAGACCCUAGGGGCGACAAUCCCGGCCGGAGCGCACGUAAGUCGCGGAUUACCGGCGACGACCCUAAAUCUCUCUCCCUCUCGAUGUCUCCCUCUUUCUCGCCGCUUCACAAAUGGUCGCGCACGGCCGAGUGUUCACGUAUAUAUAAUAUACUCAUGAGGCAAGGUCCCCAGGGCCCACGCAAUCUCUCGG
rnacentral:lncRNA from 1 species